GUUUAUGAAUGAUGAAU
rnacentral:misc_RNA from 1 species